CGGCCUGGUAAGUACUGUGUGAAAUCUGGCGGCUUAACCGUCAGGCGGGCACAGUAUACUGCCAGGCUAGGGACCGGACGGCGUCAGGGGUAUUCCUGGGGUAGGGGUGAAAUCCUAAAAUCCCAGGAGGACCACCGGUGGCGAAAGCGCCUGACGAGUACGGAUCCGACGGUGAGGGACGAAAGCCAGGGGAGCAAAGCGGAUUAGAUACCCGCGUAGUCCUGGCCGUAAACUAUGUCCGCUUGAUGCUGGGUUUCCUUCGAGGAGGCUCAGUGCCGAAGCGAAAGCGUUAAGCGGACCGCCUGGGGA
rnacentral:rRNA from 1 species